GACGAACGCUGGCGGCGUGCUUAACACAUGCAAGUCGAACGCUGAAGCUCAGCUUUUGUUGGGUGGAUGAGUGGCGAACGGGUGAGUAACACGUGAGUAACCUGCCCCCUUCUUUGGGAUAACGCCCGGAAACGGGAGCUAAUACUGGAUAUUCACUGGUCUUCGCAUGGGGGUUGGUGGAAAGGGUUUUUCUGGUGGGGGAUGGGCUCGCGGCCUAUCAGCUUGUUGGUGGGGUGAUGGCCUACCAAGGCGUUGACGGGUAGCCGGCCUGAGAGGGUGACCGGUAACAUUGGGACGGUGCUGCGGCCUAGAGUCCGACGGGAGGCAGCAGUGUGGAAGAUUGCACAAUGGGCGCAAGCCUGAUGCAGCGACGCCGCGUGAGGGAUGGAGGCCGUCGGGUUGUGAAACUCUGUCGCUCAUGGUCAAGCCGAAACAAUGGUUGUGGUGAGGUUAGUGGGUAAAGAAGCGCCGGCUAACUACGUG
rnacentral:rRNA from 1 species